UAUGGUACUAGAGGCACUGGAGGUGUGGCUGCUGUGACACAUGUGUAUUGGCCAGUAGGUUGUAGAGAGGGGAGAGACUAUAUUUCUGCUCAGCGUCGUGACUUAGGAACAUCUGAAUGAUUAGUAGUCUAACAUU